UAGCUAAGGUGUUGUGUGUGGAAGAGC
rnacentral:piRNA from 1 species